GCAAAACAGUGACCAAGGAGGGACACAGAGUGAAUGGAAACUUGGAUUCAUCUCAACAUCUACACACCAGCCAGCAGAACUAGUCAGAUGCCCAGGGAUUGGACGCAAUCGAUGGUGAGUUGUGUAAAGCGGAGGGCGUCAUCGAACGUGGAGGCCUUCAGGAGGCAAUCGUCGAGGGGUUUGGAUGCCUAAGGAUCGAAGAGUGGCCCUUGAUUCCUUCAUUGAGUGAAGCACCUCAUCUGUAGUGGAAGCAAAGAGUUUGUCACCAUCAAAAGGGAGAUACUCUAUGGUGCUCUGAACCUCAUGAGGAAAGAGGGAAGAAGAGAGCCAUGAACCUCGGCGCAUGACCACCGCCGUAGCGGUGGACCUUGCUGCGGUAUUGGCUGCAUCCAGAGCUGCUUGAAGAGCCGUGCGUGAUAUGAUUUGGCCCUCGGAAACUAAAGUUGAAAACUGUUGUUUCUUCUGUUCCAGAAUGUGUUCA